UAAACGUCUUUAUGCAAAAUGUCCCACCCCCAGACUCAGAUAUCACCUCAUUAUUAUGGGAUUGUUGAACACACCACAAACCAAACUGUUGCAUUGCCGGACUGCUUCAAUUGUUGGAUGUUGUUCACUUCGAUCGGUUCAAUUACUGUGCAAUUAAAUAUUAAACUGUGUCCAGGUAAGCUCCCAACUCAACAUGUUGAACACAAUCCGGUUAUCAUUGUUAUGCAUUGCAAAUUCGAUUCCGCUGUGUCCCUAGGAGCAUUACGCUAAUCGAUCCAACUGUAAUCAUGUAACGCUGAGUUUAUAUCCAUGCCUGAACUUUGACAACAGAUAUUCCUACCUCUUUGUGAUGUCAAACGUUACCUGUUUCCAGCUUGCUAGCCGGAUGUUGUGUACUACGCUGUGAAACUAUUAAAUUUUAAUGAUGUGUUACCGGUUACACGCUAACUAUACUCCGUUCGGAUGGUAUCACAACAGAGAAGAGCCGGCUGCUCCCUCUGAUAGUGUAGCUUAGUUACCUGUAGAGCAUUUCCAGCUCUAAACGUUAAUCGCGUAGACGCUACCUUUCUCGAAUUCUUACUUGAAUGGCAAUUUGUGAACUCAUUCAAUGGUUUAUUAUAACUUCCAAACGGUUUCUUAUGAUCCACCCUAUUUCAACCUAGAAUUUGUUGAACUGAAGACGGUGUAAAUAAAUAAAAUAAAAAAAAAACAAUCUAAAUCGGUCAAUUUAAGGCAACAGAAAACUUCUUUUGACAAAGUUGCAAGAAAUUAAAAGGUUUCCAAUUUUUCGGAAGCACGUAUACCAUAAUUUUUACAAAUAAGAUAGAUCGUUGUACCGUUUCUGUUAAAUUGGGAUCACUCUAGUUUUGAAUAACAUCAAACAAAGGGCCUAUCUAAAACGAACAAAUUUGUAGAAGACAAGCACUAAGCACAGUCCGAAAAGGCAAAUUUUAUUUGCGCAUUGAGCUGGAAAUGCUCUAUAUCGUUCACUAACGCUGAAAUGCUGACUGUGCCGUGUGAAGUAGAGUUGCCAAUGUGCUAAGCUACGCUAAGCAGCUCCAUUGCCUAGAAAUGACAAUACCGUGACGAUAUACAUACGUGCAAUGGAAGAAAGGAGAGGUUUGGUCCAGGUUUUAAAGUCCUCGGUGGACCCUCGACUGGUAAUAAUGGUAAGCGCUUUUACCUGUUGAAUAUUUAAGCCCGGAUGAAUGGCAAUCAUAUCCCCAUAAUGGCAUGUGAUGAUGGCAUUAGGACGUGUGCACGUACACACAUGCUUAACUGGAGAAACAGAUUGCUAAGGAAUGGAAAAUAUAAUACAUUUGAAAUAUAUGCAUGAUGAAUGCCGUCCAUAGGUUUAUGAGACAUCAGGUAUCAGAUUACAGUGCUGUUUAGAAGCAGGAGUAACCGGAACAGCUUUCCAGAAAAAAUAACAGUAUGUGCCUCACUGGUGACGGAUGGAAGUCCGCAUCAAGCUCUUUGAUCAAAAUCUAAGUGGAAAUAUAGCAUGAUAAUUAUUUGUCCUCAUA